GAUUUUAGUUCUUGUGAACUGGUUUAUAUUUCUAUCAUCAAGAAUAAUAUGUCUUAAACUAAAAUAUCAUUACAAUGUAAACAUGUGAAAAUUUAAUCCGUAUGUAGUCGCUAACCUUUAAGUGAUUUGGUCUUUGAUAGAUAUUUGUCUCAUUGGCAACCAUUUCACAUUUUAAACUUUUUACAUUACCAAAGCAAUGGAUGGUUAUUGAUGAAUACGAUAUUUUAAUUUAAAACCAAAGUAUCUCUAGAGACAACACGCAUUAUUUUAUAAUUUAUAAUACAGAGGUGCUUAUGAGUUAUUUGACCAUAUCGAAUUAUCUAAAUUAUAUCAAAUCAAUUAAUGUUUUAUAAGUUUUU
rnacentral:lncRNA from 1 species